CCUACGGGAGGCAGCAGUAGGGAAUCUUCCACAAUGGACGUAAGUCUGAUGGAGCAACGCCGCGUGAGUGAAGAAGGGUUUCGGCUCGUAAAGCUCUGUUGGGAGUGAAGAAAGAUAGAGGUAGUAACUGGCCUUUAUUUGACGGUAAUUACUUAGAAAGUCACGGCUAACUACGUGCCAGCAGCCGCGGUAAUACGUAGGUGGCAAGCGUUGUCCGGAUUUAUUGGGCGUAAAGCGAGUGCAGGCGGGUCCAUAAGGGUGGUGUGGAAGCC
rnacentral:rRNA from 1 species